rnacentral:snRNA from 1 species
GGAUGUGAAGGUGAUCUGGCUGCAACAUCUGUCACCUCAUUGACAUCAUCGGCAGUGUUGAUUCGGCUGAUCUGGCUGGCUAGGCAGGUGUCCCCUUCCUCCCUCAUCGCUCCAUGUGCAUCCUUCCCCAAGCUGUGUGCUCUGUUGAAGAGGACUGCCUUCCCCAAAUAGAGAUGGACGGGUCUUCAGUGGAGGGUAUACAAGUAGCUGCGCUCCCCUGCUAGAACCUCCAAACAAGCUUUCAAAGUAUGCCACAAUCAUGAAAAUUAGUGAACUACAAAAAAACAAGAAAUUACAAAAAAAAAAAAAACCUCAGAGAUGAUACUACAUAUUUAUCAAAAAUCAGAAUCUGAUUUUUUUAUCUUU